rnacentral:rRNA from 1 species
UACGUAGGUGACCAGCGUUGUCCGGAUUUACUGGGCGUAAAGAGCGCGCAGGCGGUCUUUCAAGUCGAGUGUGAAAGCCCCCGGCUCAACUGGGGAGGGUCACUCGAUACUGAUCGACUUGAAGGCAGGAGAGGGAAGCGGAAUUCCCGGUGUAGUGGUGAAAUGCGUAGAUAUCGGGAGGAACACCAGUGGCGAAGGCGACUUCCUGGCCUGUUCUUGACGCUGAGGCGCGAAAGCUAGGGUAGCAAACGGG